rnacentral:rRNA from 1 species
AUUGAACGCUGGCGGCAUGCCUUACACAUGCAAGUCGAACGGCAGCACGGGGGCAACCCUGGUGGCGAGUGGCGAACGGGUGAGUAAUGCAUCGGAACGUACCCGGAAGUGGGGGAUAACGUAGCGAAAGUUACGCUAAUACCGCAUAUUCUGUGAGCAGGAAAGCAGGGGAUCGCAAGACCUUGCGCUUUCGGAGCGGCCGAUGUCGGAUUAGCUAGUUGGUGAGGUAAGGGCUUACCAAGGCGACAAUCCUGAGCGGGUCUUAGAGGAUGACCGGCCACACGGGGACGAGGACACGACCAGACUCCUACGGGAGGCAGCAGUGGGGAAUUUUGGACAAUGGGGGAAACCCUGAUCCAGCCAUGCCGCGUGAGUGAAGAAGGCCUUCGGGUUGUAAAGCUCUUUCGGACAGAAAGAAAUCGCCAUCUCUAAUACAGGUGGUGGAUGACGGUACUGUAAGAAGAAGCACCGGCUAACUACGUGCCAGCAGCCGCCGUAA